GUGGGAGCCGAGCUUGCUCGCGAUGGCGGCGGGUCAGCUUGCAUCCAUGUUGAAUGCCAGACCGCAAUCGCGAGCAAGCUCGGCUCCCAC
rnacentral:antisense_RNA from 1 species